ensembl:lncRNA
GGCAUUUUGACUUGCUGUUAUGUAUUUAAUGUUUAAUACUACUACUACUACUACUACUACUAAUAAUAAGAAGAAUAAUAGAUGAGCUAUUUAAAAAAAAGGUAUUUCAGUGUAAAGACAUCUCCUCCAUUGAUUUCCCUUCAAACGGAAUGGCAUUCAUUCAUCUUAAACCUUUAGUUAGUGCUGAAAAAAAAAAAAAAAAAAAAAAAAAAAAAAACACUGAGACUAUAACAAAAUACGCCAUCAAAUCUGUAUUUCUCUCUUUGCCUUUUUUAUCGGUCUCUCUGUCAUGGUCUUGUCAUGAUCCUGUCUCUAUCUCUCUCCUUUUCUCUCUCUGUCUCCCCCUGCUGGUUUCUCCUCUCCUGUCUCCCCCGCUCUUCGCUUCUGUGUCACAGCUGACUUCACUUCUCAUUAAGAUAAUUUCCCCUCCACCUGCUUCUCAUAUUGCCUUGUUAUCUGGGCUACUUCUACCCUCUCGUUCUCGUGUCUCUUUGUCAGAUUGUUACCUCCGAAUGAAGCAUUGGUCAUUGGCGUCUUCACUUAGAGUUGGUCUUGUCCUGUCCAGUCCGGUCCGGUCUAGUCGGGGAACCUUACCUGCUAUCCAACGCCGCGGCCUCCGCGCUCUGCGAGCUCCAGUCUCCGGUUCUCCCCUGAGCCCAGUCAAGCCUCCGCCUCGCCAGCCUGCUGGUCGUUCCAGCCACAGAGGUCUCCUGAGUUAUUUAUACUACCCAGCCUACGGGUCUUCCUCUGUUCUCAUCUUUUGUACUCCUUGGUUGGAUUUACCUGUGGCUUUCCUUUGUUUAAUUAAAGACUGUCAUUUUGCCCUCGCAUUUGAGUCCUCUCUCUUCAAUACUCAUCACACUCUCGUUCUCUCUCUCUUCACCCUAAUAUAAACGAGCAGUACACACUGAUGCUCCAGAUAGUAGUUUGUGUCUGAACCUGAUAAGGUGCCUUGAGACUGUGUGUUCUCCAUGUUCAGGUGUAUGGUCUUCCCUGUUUUUCCUUUUCCCACCCCUCCUCUUUAUCUCUGUCUCUGCUCACAGGCUGCUUGGGCCAGAUAAACUCCGAUCUGAGUGGAACAUGAAGAAUGUGUGUCCAGUUCUGCAGAAAGACCUUACGUAUAUACAAACUAAGCACCAUUUACC